rnacentral:rRNA from 1 species
UUUCCAGAGAUGGAUUGGUGCCUUCGGGAACUGUGAGACAGGUGCUGCAUGGCUGUCGUCAGCUCGUGUUGUGAAAUGUUGGGUUAAGUCCCGCAACGAGCGCAACCCUUAUCCUUUGUUGCCAGCGAUUCGGUCGGGAACUCAAAGGAGACUGCCAGUGAUAAACUGGAGGAAGGUGGGGAUGACGUCAAGUCAUCAUGGCCCUUACGACCAGGGCUACACACGUGCUACAAUGGCGCAUACAAAGAGAAGCGACCUCGC